rnacentral:rRNA from 2 species
UGCAAGUCGAGCGAACUGAUUAGAAGCUUGCUUCUAUGACGUUAGCGGCGGACGGGUGAGUAACACGUGGGCAACCUGCCUGUAAGACUGGGAUAACUUCGGGAAACCGAAGCUAAUACCGGAUAGGAUCUUCUCCUUCAUGGGAGAUGAUUGAAAGAUGGUUUCGGCUAUCACUUACAGAUGGGCCCGCGGUGCAUUAGCUAGUUGGUGAGGUAACGGCUCACCAAGGCAACGAUGCAUAGCCGACCUGAGAGGGUGAUCGGCCACACUGGGACUGAGACACGGCCCAGACUCCUACGGGAGGCAGCAGUAGGGAAUCUUCCGCAAUGGACGAAAGUCUGACGGAGCAACGCCGCGUGAGGUGAUGAAGGCUUUCGGGUCGUAAAACUCUGUUGUUAGGGAAGAACAAGUACAAGAGUAACUGCUUGUACCUUGACGGGUACCUAACCAGAAAGCCACGGCUAACUACGUGCCAGCAGCCGCGGUAAUACGGUAGGGUGGCAAGCGUUAUCCGGGAAUUAUUGGGCGUAAAGCGCGCGCAGGCGGUUUCUUAAGUCUGAUGUUAAAGCCCACGGCUCCAACCGUGGAGGGUCAUUGGAAACUGGG